rnacentral:rRNA from 1 species
UACGGAGGGUGCAAGCGUUAUCCGGAAUUACUGGGUUUAAAGGGUGCGUAGGCGGCUUGAUAAGUCAGGGGUGAAAUCUUCCCGCUUAACGGGGGCUGUGCCUUUGAUACUGUCAGGCUAGAAUCGGGUUGAGGCAGGCGGAAUGUGGCAUGUAGCGGUGAAAUGCAUAGAUAUGCCAUGGAACACCAAUUGCGUAGGCAGCUUGCCAAACCUGUAUUGACGCUGAGGCACGAAAGCGUGGGGAGCAAACAGG